GCAUUGGUGGUAUAGUGGUAUAGUGAGCACAGCUGCUUUCUAAGCAGUUGACCUGGGUUCAAUUCCCAGCCAAUGCA